rnacentral:rRNA from 2 species
CAUGCAAGUCGAGCGGAAACGAGUUAUCUGAACCUUCGGGGAACGAUAACGGCGUCGAGCGGCGGACGGGUGAGUAAUGCCUAGGAAAUUGCCCUGAUGUGGGGGAUAACCAUUGGAAACGAUGGCUAAUACCGCAUAAUGCCUACGGGCCAAAGAGGGGGACCUUCGGGCCUCUCGCGUCAGGAUAUGCCUAGGUGGGAUUAGCUAGUUGGUGAGGUAAUGGCUCACCAAGGCGACGAUCCCUAGCUGGUCUGAGAGGAUGAUCAGCCACACUGGAACUGAGACACGGUCCAGACUCCUACGGGAGGCAGCAGUGGGGAAUAUUGCACAAUGGGCGCAAGCCUGAUGCAGCCAUGCCGCGUGUGUGAAGAAGGCCUUCGGGUUGUAAAGCACUUUCAGUCGUGAGGAAGGUNGUGUAGUUAAUAGCUGCAUUAUUUGACGUUAGCGACAGAAGAAGCACCGGCUAACUCCGUGCCAGCAGCCGCGGUAAUACGGAGGGUGCGAGCGUUAAUCGGAAUUACUGGGCGUAAAGCGCAUGCAGGUGGUUUGUUAAGUCAGAUGUGAAAGCCCGGGGCUCAACCUCGGAAUAGCAUUUGAAACUGGCAGACUAGAGUACUGUAGAGGGGGGUAGAAUUUCAGGUGUAGCGGUGAAAUGCGUAGAGAUCUGAAGGAAUACCGGUGGCGAAGGCGGCCCCCUGGACAGAUACUGACACUCAGAUGCGAAAGCGUGGGGAGCAAACAGGAUUAGAUACCCUGGUAGUCCACGCCGUAAACGAUGUCUACUUGGAGGUUGUGGCCUUGAGCCGUGGCUUUCGGAGCUAACGCGUUAAGUAGACCGCCUGGGGAGUACGGUCGCAAGAUUAAAACUCAAAUGAAUUGACGGGGGCCCGCACAAGCGGUGGAGCAUGUGGUUUAAUUCGAUGCAACGCGAAGAACCUUACCUACUCUUGACAUCCAGAGAACUUUCCAGAGAUGGAUUGGUGCCUUCGGGAACUCUGAGACAGGUGCUGCAUGGCUGUCGUCAGCUCGUGUUGUGAAAUGUUGGGUUAAGUCCCGCAACGAGCGCAACCCUUAUCCUUGUUUGCCAGCGAGUAAUGUCGGGAACUCCAGGGAGACUGCCGGUGAUAAACCGGAGGAAGGUGGGGACGACGUCAAGUCAUCAUGGCCCUUACGAGUAGGGCUACACACGUGCUACAAUGGCGCAUACAGAGGGCAGCAAGCUAGCGAUAGUGAGCGAAUCCCAAAAAGUGCGUCGUAGUCCGGAUUGGAGUCUGCAACUCGACUCCAUGAAGUCGGAAUCGCUAGUAAUCGUGGAUCAGAAUGCCACGGUGAAUACGUUCCCGGGCCUUGUACACACCGCCCGUCACACCAUGGGAGUGGGCUGCAAAAGAAGUAGGUAGUUUAACCUUCGGGAGGACGCU